GACGAACGCUGGCGGCGUGCUUAACACAUGCAAGUCGAACGAAGAGCGAUGGAAGCUUGCUUCUAUCAAUCUUAGUGGCGAACGGGUGAGUAACGCGUAAUCAACCUGCCCUUCAGAGGGGGACAACAGUUGGAAACGACUGCUAAUACCGCAUACGAUCUAAUCUCGGCAUCGAGGAUAGAUGAAAGGUGGCCUCUACAUGUAAGCUAUCACUGAAGGAGGGGAUUGCGUCUGAUUAGCUAGCUGGAGGGGGAACGGCCCCCCCAGGCGAUGAUCAGUAGCCGGUCUGCGAGGAUGGACGGCCCCCUUGGGACUGCGACACGGCCCAGACUCCUACGGGAGGCAGCAGUGGGGAAUCUUCCGCAAUGGACGCAAGUCUGACGGAGCAACGCCGCGUGAGUGAUGACGGCCUUCGGGUUGUAAAGCUCUGUUAAUCGGGACGAAAGGCCUUCUUGCGAAUAGUGAGAAGGAUUGACGGUACCGGAAUAGAAAGCCACGGCUAACUACGUG
rnacentral:rRNA from 1 species